AGGGCCCUGGCUGAUCCUGCCCCAGGGCCUGUGGUCACACUUAGAAAUGGAGAACCCUCCCUGCUUUCCUGGAUGGACCACUCAUCUCUUACUUAACCAGCAGAGAAGAAGAGAGGUAGGUGGUGCUUGGGGCUAGAGUGGAUCCAGUAUUUGAUUCUUAAUUAGUCUCAGUUAUUUACAGGCUGCAGAGCAAAAGGAUGGAGGGGCAGGUUUAUAACUUAUGAUCAGUGAAGUUCAGGUAUGUUCUGGGCCAGUUUUGUAAGAUAGCUGUCCCAACAAAGGAUUUAUCAACAAAAUAAAAAAAGAAAAUAAAAAAAAAAAACUCUAGAGAAAAUAGCUCUUUUACAACAUGAGAGUCUAACAGGAAAAUCUUCAAGCAGAAACCACACACUUCGCCCUGCCCAGCUUCCCUCCUACCCAGCUCAGCACACAGGCAGAAGACCUCUCUAAUCAUCCUCUCAAGGAACAAACACUUGACCUUUCCUUUUCUCAUAUGGCUUCCCCAUGUGUCAGGUGAAUUUUCCUUCAUGGAAAUGGAUUCCUGUUUGGGUUAUUUUUGAAGGUAAGAGUGAAGGACUUGGGGGCUUUGUUGUGACCACCCUGUACCCUUUGCUUUAAUGGAGUUGUAAUAGGUUCAGCUCAAUAGCCACAUCUUUGGCCUCAGUGGAAUUCUGCUUGACCAAGAUUAUGGACAGAAGGCAGCAGCUGCUUACAACCUGGUGUGCUUGCAGGUGAAAGGGACCAGUGGAAUCUGCUCUCCAUUUUCAUUUCCGUCAUGUUGGGUCGCAUACAGCUACUUUCUGGCUUGUACCACAGCAGGGAAACCUAAACUGAUCUUUCUGCCUCUAGUCUUGACCUCCUUUCAUGUAUUCUCUUAUUGCCUUCAGAACAAUUCUUCCUAAAAGCCUGACUAAUGUGAUGACUCCCCUUUGAAAAAAAUCUACAAAUGCCUCCAGACAUUUCGAUGUAAAUCCUUCACACACACACACGCACACACACACACACACACACACACACACACACACACACACACACACAUAUAUAUAUAUGACUUUUUAUGAUCCCGCAAUUAUUCACAAUGGCAAUUUCAUCUCUUCUUCACCCCACC
rnacentral:lncRNA from 1 species